CCCGUGAGGAAAUGUCCAGGGGUUAAAACAUCUAACUCGGAAGGAUCCUCGGAGAGUGGGGUAAGCGGACGCGUAUUCAUGUUCGCUUCAAUUUGUGUCAGAACAUUUUCACGGCCGCUUCCCACAGGCCUCCAAAGCUGGGUGCUCUUGGUGGGAUAAACUUCCAGGUUAUUCCUUUCGCGCCACAUUCGUUAAAAAAGAUCUCUUGACUCGAUUUACGGUUCAGAAGGUGGUAAAGAUCUGCAAGAGCAUUGUUGGCACCUCGAAAAUUGGUUCCAUUAUCUGAGUGGAUCUCGUUUGGCAGCCCACGGCGAGCGAUGAAGCGGCGCAGGGCAGCGAUAAAUGCAUUUGUUGAUAAAUCGGAUACUAAUUCUAUAUGAACUGCUUUUGAACUGAAGCAAAUGAAUAUAGCGAUAAAUGCUUUUUUCGGAGCGGCACGACGAUGGACUGGCUUCAGGUAUACUGGACCGCAAUAAUCAACACCAGUAAUUGCGAAUGGACGGCUUGGAACUACGCGUGAAGUGGGCAACUGGCCGACGGGUUGUGUUACAGGAACAGGAUUCAAUCGGAAACAAUUUUGACAAUUUCGACAAACGUAAUGUACGAGUAAUUUUCCACGUAUGGGCCAGAAUUCUUGUCGCAUUGCAGACAAAGUCAUGCGAGAUAAUGGAUGCUUAUCUGGUAAUAUCAUAGGGUGUUUAGUUUUGUAGCUCUCUGUGGAUUGCGCCAAUCUUCCACCGACACGCAAGACUCCUCUAUCAUCGACGAAAGGUAGUAAGUGUUUCAAAUUAGAUUUCAUUGACAGAGGUCUUUUAUAUUCCAGUGCUCUCUUUUCAUCAGCGAAGGCUUCAUACUGGGCUGACCUCACUAAGCAUUCCUUGGCUUGUACCAACUCCAUCGCUGAGAGAAAUUCUUCAUGUGACUUUCUUUGCUUGCUUCGGCAACAGUUUAAAAAGCGUAAUAUAUAUGCUGUUAUUCUGAGCAAACGCUGGAAAUUGGAAUACCGCUCAAACAGAAAAAAUGGUUUCAGGACAACUUGAGCAACCAUCACCGUUCGUUUUCGUUCCAGGAUUUCUUCAGAGGGCGGAAUCAAUUGCGUGUUCUUAGGCCACCUUUCCUCUUCUUCACGGAGCCAAUCCGGACCGUGGAGCCACAUUGUGCUUUUCAUAAAUUCUGACGGCAACAUUCCACGAGAAACGACAUCAGCAGGAUUAUCAGUUCCUUUAAUAUGUUUCCAGCUUUUACCGCUUGUAAGCCGCUGAAUUUCGGCAGUACGGUUCCCGAUAAAGGUCUGCCAAGUAUUUGAUGGUGCUCGAAUCCAGUAUAGAGUGACUAUAGAGUCCGACCAUAACCAACACGGAGUGUCCUUCAUUCGUAAUGCGCAUGCAGUUUUAUG